rnacentral:rRNA from 1 species
CACGUAGGGGGCGAGCGUUGUCCGGAUUUAUUGGGCGUAAAGAGCUCGUAGGUGGCUUAGUAAGUCGGGUGUGAAACCUCCAGGCUCAAUCUGGAGACGCCACCCGAUACUGCUAUAGCUUGAGUCCGGUAGGGGAGCGUGGAAUUCCUGGUGUAGCGGUGAAAUGCGCAGAUAUCAGGAGGAACACCAGCGGCGAAGGCGGCGCUCUGGGCCGGUACUGACACUGAGGAGCGAAAGCGUGGGGAGCAAACAGG